rnacentral:rRNA from 1 species
UACGAAGGGGACUAGCGUUGUUCGGAUUUACUGGGCGUAAAGCGCGCGUAGGCGGAUCGCUAAGUCAGGGGUGAAAUCCCAGGGCUCAACCCUGGAACUGCCUUUGAUACUGACGAUCUGGAGAUCGGGAGAGGUUGGUGGAAUUCCGAGUGUAGAGGUGAAAUUCGUAGAUAUUCGGAGGAACACCAGAAGCGAAGGCGGCCAACUGGCCCGAUACUGACGCUGAGGCGCGAAAGCUAGGGGAGCAAACAGG